rnacentral:misc_RNA from 1 species
UCACCCCUCAAGCCUCGGCUUGGUGUUGGACCCUGGGUCUGGGCUACCAGACCGGUCUCAAAGAUAGUGACGGCGUCCGGAAAGGAACCCGUACGAGGAGCUUCUAGUCAAGCAUGUACGCGGCGUGAUUUCGUGGACGACGGUCUUUACUUAAAUUUAUACCAG